rnacentral:RNase_P_RNA from 2 species
GUAAGUAGUAGUUUGAUGGCGGUUGUAAAACUGAGGAAAGUCGGAACUUCAAAAGGCAAAAUACCGCAGAAAUUACGGCAGUAGAAAUACUAGGGAAAGUACAACAGAAAAUAAACCGCUAUUUUUUAAAAAUAGUAAGGGUGAAACAGUGAGGUAAGAGCUCCCUAUAUUUAUUAGUAAUAAUAAGUAUUUGUAAACCCUAUUUGAAGCAAAACCAAGCAGAGUAAUGCGUAGCCUUUCGCUUAUUUACUCGGGUAGGUUGCAGGAGAAAUUUAGUAAUAAAUUUCCUAGAUAAAUCAUCAUUAAAACAGAAUUCCGCUUACUCACUACUUACAAAG